UACGGAGGGGGCGAGCGUUAUUCGGAAUUAUUGGGCGUAAAGGGCGCGUAGGCGGCCUUGUAAGUCAAAGGUGAAAUCCCUCGGCUCAACUGAGGAACUGCCUUUGAAACUGCAAGGCUUGAGGCCGGGAGGGGGUAGCGGAAUUCCCAAUGUAGCGGUGAAAUGCGUAGAUAUUGGGAGGAACACCAGUGGCGAAGGCGGCUACCUGGACCGGUUCUGACGCUGAGGCGCGAAAGCGUGGGGAGCAAACAGG
rnacentral:rRNA from 1 species